AUAACUUUAAGCACAACUUAAUAAUAAUAGAUCACCAAUUUUAGUUAAUAAUUUUAUGCUAUACUCUUGGGUGAGGGAAGACUCGGACACUCAAUAUGAGAUCAGCAAGCUAUGUUUAUUGUAGAGAGUAUCAGACACUUAUACAGCACAUAAUAAGCUUAUGAAUAUUCUGUAAGCCAAGCGAUCUAUUGGUUAAACUAUACCAUCAACUCUUCCUCAUUCCUUUGGGCCUACAUUCCCUAUUUCCCACGUCUCUCUGUCUACUUGUUAUCCUACCCAGCUAGGCCCAGGCACACGCUAUCUUGCAGGUGCAAAACUCAAAAAUACCUGUGUUCGGUACUUUCCCAGCUCCUGGUCGGCUAACGAGCGAAUGUCUGCGUGACCUCUGUCAUGGAGCCAUUUCUCCACACUAUACUAUCAAAGUUUAAAGGGAUCAGUGAAUUUUAACUCUGGAGUCCUCUAUGCUAAGGAUGCUCAGCUUACAGAUGAUGAAAUGUUCAGUAAUGGUGAGUUUUUCACCUUCUCCUUCAUUGUUUUGCUCAUCUGAAUAAAAAAAAAAAAAGGCAAGAUUAAAGAAAAAGCAAUAGUUUUAUUAUUUUUACCCUGUUAUGUCUGUUUCCUCAGUAUUUGCUGGAGCUGUGCUUACCCAAGGUUUGGGUAAAACAAGCUUUGGGUUCCUUCUGUCUCACUGGGAGUUGCCCAAUUCAGUUGCAUCUGGUGAAAUUCACCCUGAGACCUUACAGAACCAGCUCCAACUACGUGAGAGCCAUUUGCAGUUCUCUCCAGACACCUGGAGAAUGGGCGACGUUUCUGAGGAUCCGGCGAGCGUGCUUCUAUCAAAACUCAGUCUGUGAAAUUUCUGGGGAAAACCCUUCUGUGUCCUGAAGGGUUCAAACUCUGGCGAGGAUCCAGUUAUCAGGUGCUCACCUGGAUGGUUCCAGCUGCCAAAGGGAAAGACUCUCGUAUCCUUGUCGUCGGGCUCGGUGCUGUCCAAGAAGAUACAGAGACUAAAAAAAUCAUAAGAAGCAAAAUAUGACUGCAGGGAAAAGAAGCUGGAGAGAACAGAAGACUCAUCACGGCGGGACAGCGUGAGGACUGAAAGUGUAAGAAGAUGUGGAGGGAAACAGAGAAUCUGACAGGAGCAGCGAACGCACGAGUGCACGAAUUUUGCUUUUUGCUUGGAUGUAAACUCAGGAGUUGAAAGGAAUUUGGGAGUGAGAAGGGACAUUUCAGAAGGAGAAGAAGAAAAAGAAGUUGUUGUUGUUGUUGUUACAGUCCUGGCAAAA